rnacentral:rRNA from 1 species
UACGUAGGGUGCGAGCGUUGUCCGGAAUUAUUGGGCGUAAAGAGCUCGUAGGCGGCUUGUCGCGUCGGAUGUGAAAGCCCGGGGCUUAACUCCGGGUCUGCAUUCGAUACGGGCAGGCUAGAGUUCGGUAGGGGAGAUCGGAAUUCCUGGUGUAGCGGUGAAAUGCGCAGAUAUCAGGAGGAACACCGGUGGCGAAGGCGGAUCUCUGGGCCGAUACUGACGCUGAGGAGCGAAAAGCGUGGGGAGCGAUCGG